rnacentral:SRP_RNA from 1 species
UGGUUGGACCCUGCGCAAUAAGACCCUGCGAACCCUGUCAGGUCCGGAAGGAAGCAGCAGUAAACAGGCAAUCUUGUGUGCCGCAGAAUUCUCUAACCUGAGC